GACGAACGCUGGCGGCGUGCUUAACACAUGCAAGUCGAACGGAAAGGCCCUGCUUUUGUGGGGUGCUCGAGUGGCGAACGGGGGAGUAACACGUGAGUAACCUGCCCUUGACUUUGGGAUAACUUCAGGAAACUGGGGCUAAUACCGGAUAGGAGCUCCUGCUGCAUGGUGGGGGUUGGUAAGUUUCGGCGGUUGGGGAUGGACUCGCGGCUUAUCAGCUUGUUGGUGGGGUAGUGGCGUACCAAGGCUUUGACGGGUAGCCGGCCUGGGAGGGUGACCGGCCACAUUGGGACUGAGAUACGGCCCGGACUCCUACGGGAGGCAGCAGUGGGGAAUAUUGCACAAUGGGCUGAAGCCUGAUGCAGCAACGCCGCGUGCGGGAUGACGGCCUUCGGGUUGUAAACCGCUUUCGCCUGUGACGAAGCGUGAGUGACGGUAAUGGGUAAAGAAGCACCGGCUAACUACGUG
rnacentral:rRNA from 1 species